rnacentral:misc_RNA from 1 species
UCCCUGUUACCAGGGCAGUCUGAAUAGAAAAAUCCAACUAUUCAAAAGGGUUGCGCUCGUUGAUGGACUUAACCAAACAUCUCACGACACGAGCUGACGACGGCCAUGCAACACCUGUCACUUGGUUUCCGAAGACACUUUCUCCUUUCGGAGAAAUUCCAAGGAUGUCAAGCCUGGGUAAGGUUCUUCGCUUAUCAUCGAAUUAAACAACACGCUCCACCGCUUGUGCGGGUCCCCGUCAAUUCCUUUAUGUUUUAGCCUUGCGGCCGUACUCCACAGGCGGGAUGCUUAACGCGUUAGCUUCGUUACUAGCCGGGUCGAUACGGCUAACAACCAGCAUCCAUCGUUUACGGCGUGGACUAC